rnacentral:rRNA from 1 species
GACGAACGCUGGCGGCGUGCCUAACACAUGCAAGUUGAGCGACGAACCAGGGCUUGCCCUGGGGCAAAGCAGCGAACGGGUGAGUAACACGUGGGUAACCUACCCCGAUAACCGGGACAACCCGAGGAAACUCGGGCUAAUACCGGAUGUGCUCUGGACUUCGGUUCAGUGCGUAAAGGAAGCUUCGGCCUCCGUAUCGGGAGGGGCCCGCGGCCCAUUAGUUUGUUGGUGAGGUAACGGCUCACCAAGACCGCGAUGGGUAGCUGGUCUGAGAGGACGAUCAGCCACACUGGGACUGAGACACGGCCCAGACUCCUACGGGAGGCAGCAGUGGGGAAUCUUGCGCAAUGCGCGAAAGCGUGACGCAGCAACGCCGCGUGGGGGAAGAAGGCCUUCGGGUUGUAAACCCCUUUCAGGAGGGACGAAGGUUCGGCGGUGAAUAGCCGUCCGGACUGACGGUACCUCCACAAGAAGCCCCGGCUAACUACGUG